rnacentral:tRNA from 1 species
GCUCAGUGGUAGAACUUCCGCUUCGUAUGCGGAAAGACCUGGGUUCGAUUCCCGG